GCAUGGUUGUCGUCAGCUCGUGUCGUGAGAUGUUGGGUUAAGUCCCGCAACGAGCGCAACCCCUAUCCUUAGUUGCCAGCAUUCAGUUGGGCACUCUAGGGAGACUGCCGGUGACAAACCGGAGGAAGGUGGGGAUGACGUCAAAUCAUCAUGCCCCUUAUGAGUUGGGCUACACACGUGCUACAAUGGACGGUACAAAGGGCAGCGAGACCGCGAGGUGGAGCCAAUCCCAUAAAGCCGUUCCCAGUUCGGAUUGCAGGCUGCAACUCGCCUGCAUGAAGUCGGAAUCGCUAGUAAUCGCAGGUCAGCAUACUGCGGUGAAUACGUUCCCGGGUCUUGUACACACCGCCCGUCACACCANCGAGAGUUUGCAACACCCGAAGCCGGUGAGUAACAGACAAGGAGNCAGCCGUCGAAGU
rnacentral:rRNA from 1 species